GGACUACUGGGGUAUCUAAUCCUGUUUGCUCCCCACGCUUUCGCGCCUCAGCGUCAAUACCAGUCCAGUUGGCCGCCUUCGCCACCGGUGUUCUUCCCAAUCUCUACGAAUUUCACCUCUACACUGGGAAUUCCACCAACCUCUCCUGGAUUCAAGCGCACCAGUAUCAAGCGCAAUUCCCGGGUUGAGCCCAGGGCUUUCACGCCUGACUUAGUGCACCGCCUACGCGCCCUUUACGCCCAGUAAUUCCGAACAACGCUUGCCCCCUUCGUAUUACCGCGGCUGCUGGCAC
rnacentral:rRNA from 1 species